rnacentral:RNase_P_RNA from 1 species
ACCGCAGACCGCCUUAUCGUUCCCGAUUUUCGGGAGAGGAAAGUCCGGACACCAAAGAGUAGCAUAGUGGGUAACGCCCAUCCAUCGAAAGGUGAGGACAAGUGCAACAGAAAGUAUGUACAGGUAAUGCUGUAGUGAAACCAGGUAAACUCUAUGCGGUGAAAUGCCAAGUAUAUCAGCAGUUUCUGAGCAAUCAGAAUAAGGGCGACUCGUCCGAUGUUGAAGGGUAGGCAGCUUGAUCCCGAUAGUAAUAUCGGGGCUAGAUAAAUGAUAAGGCUCCAUUCUUGGAGACAGAAUCCGGCUUAUAGGUCUGCUUUUUUA